rnacentral:rRNA from 1 species
CUGCUGCCUCCCGUAGGAGUUUGGACCGUGUCUCAGUUCCAAUGUGGGGGACCUUCCUCUCAGAACCCCUAUCCAUCGAUGCCUUGGUGGGCCGUUACCCCGCCAACAAGCUAAUGGAACGCAUCCCCAUCGAUGACCGAAAUUCUUUAAUAGUUCUACCAUGCGGAAGAACUAUGCCAUCGGGUAUUAAUCUUUCUUUCGAAAGGCUAUCCCCGAGUCAUCGGCAGGUUGGAUACGUGUUACUCACCCGUGCGCCGGUCGCCA